UACGGAGGGGGCUAGCGUUGUUCGGAAUUACUGGGCGUAAAGCGCACGUAGGCGGCUUUGUAAGUUAGAGGUGAAAGCCCGGGGCUCAACUCCGGAAUUGCCUUUAAGACUGCAUCGCUAGAAUUGUGGAGAGGUAAGUGGAAUUCCGAGUGUAGAGGUGAAAUUCGUAGAUAUUCGGAAGAACACCAGUGGCGAAGGCGGCGUCCUGGACCAACACUGACACUGAGGAGCGAAAGCCAGGGGAGCAAACGGG
rnacentral:rRNA from 1 species